rnacentral:rRNA from 1 species
UACGUAGGUGGCAAGCGUUAUCCGGAUUUAUUGGGUGUAAAGGGCGUGUAGGCGGGAGCGCAAGUCAGAUGUGAAAACUCAGGGCUCAACCCUGAGCCUGCAUUUGAAACUGUGUUUCUUGAGUGCUGGAGAGGCAAUCGGAAUUCCGUGUGUAGCGGUGAAAUGCGUAGAUAUACGGAGGAACACCAGUGGCGAAGGCGGAUUGCUGGACAGUAACUGACGCUGAGGUUCGAAAGCGUGGGUAGCAAACAGG